rnacentral:rRNA from 1 species
GAUGAACGCUGGCGGCGUGCUUAACACAUGCAAGUCGAACGAUGAAGCCCAGCUUGCUGGGUGGAUUAGUGGCAAACGGGUGAGUAACACGUGAGUAACCUGCCCUUAACUCUGGGAUAAGCCUGGUAAACUGGGUCUAAUACCGGAUAGGAGCGUCCACCGCAUGGUGGGGGUUGGAAAGUUUGACCGGUUGUGGAUGGAUUCGCGGCCUUUCAGCUUGUUGGUGGGGUAAUGGCUCACCAAGGCGACGACGGGUAGCCGGCCUGAGAGGGUGACCGGCCACACUGGGACUGAGAUACGGACCAGACUCCUACGGGAGGCAGCAGUGGGGAAUAUUGCACAAUGGGCGAAAGCCUGAUGCAGCGACGCCGCGUGAGGGAUGACGGCCUUCGGGUUGUAAACCUCUUUCAGUAGGGAAGAAGCGAAAGUGACGGUACCUGCAGAAGAAGCACCGGCUAACUACGUG